ACACACACAGAAACAAAUGUACUAUGUUUUGGGUGAAAGUGAUGUUGUUGCUGUGACCCCUGGAGGACAACAGUGUGAACAACACACAACACACACUCAUGAUACAAAAUGGGAAUCUUUGUUUUUAAAACAAGAAAACAAAAACUAAUCUAAAGAAGAAAAUCAUCUAAACAAGAAAAAUGUCUAACAGUUUAAACAAUAUGUAAAGUACAUGACAAUGGUGUGAAACUCAAAAACAUCUUUUAAUACUACAGCGCCCUCAUUUGGCUGAAAACAAAAACUACUGCAGGCUGAAAAAAGUUGGACAACAUUUGCAGAUAUUCUGUCUGUUUGAUCUGUUGAGCUCAAGUUGUCAAAGAUAAUCUGUGCGCCACAUCUGUUCAGACAAGAGAUGCUGAGCACAAAUAAAAUGGAGCCAGAAAAAAACAAAGAAUUUUUACAAACAACAACAACUCAACUUGUACCAUGACAGAARCUGAUGUUAAUGCUAACAGAUAGCCACAAGAUAAACACUUUGUUUURUGAUAUAAGUCAGGCAGGAAGUUCUUUUAAACCAGUAUUUUGCAUAUUUUGGUCAUCUGAUUACCCAGUCAGGCAUGUACAUUUCAAGACUUAUAAACAACUUCAUAAAUCAUCAGCAUGACCUAGCUGUUUAUAAAUAUGAACUGAAUAAAUCAUUUUUUUUACCAGAACAAACCAGUAAACAGAAAGAAUGAAACACCAGUACAUGAACAGUUACACCCAUAUAAUAAGUUCAAAUGAAGGUCAUCUUUUCUUUAUAAACUUUGCAUUAACAGUUAAAAGCAAUGAUCUCUUUUUAUCCUGUGCCUUAUGUAACUUGUAGCAACACCUGCACUGAUUAACGGUGUCAGCUGCAGUGAGGCUCUGAUUCUUGGAUUUAUUCCCAAUCCUCAGUUUGAGUAAUAAAAAUGUUCUGUUUGUGUCUCAGCUGGGAAAAGCUAGGAAACAACACUGACAUCCCAGAAUAACCAGCCUUCAGUCUCAACAUCAACUGCUACGGGUUGAUUCUUCAAAAAGGUCUGUGCAUUUAGAGAACUCUGAAGAAACAAGGGGUGGGGUUGGGUUGGGGGGGGGCAGAGUCGAUGUUAAACAUGAGUAAACAAGGACUUCCUCCCUGAGGGUCAAAAUCUGCACCUGGUUUUCUCAUUCCUGCUCUGCAACAGAGAGCAGCCGUGGCCCAGAGGAAACAUGGUCCUACAGAGCAGCUCCAAACCAACAGAUCUGUUCUGAAAGGUGGUCCAGGUGGUCCAGGUGGUGUGACACAGCUUUCAGCUCUUCACCUGGGGCCUCGUCGAGCCUCUGUGAAGCUCUGACAUGUGGCAUGGAACAACAAGCUGCAGGGCAGAGACAGGAGAGAGGGAGGCGCAGGGACGACUUCAGAAACUGAAUUUGAAUUGAUCCAAUUGAAUCUGUGUUUGCAAAAUGUAAAAUUAAAUGCACUGGUUUGAAAAUUAA